rnacentral:rRNA from 1 species
AACGAACGCUGGCGGCAUGCCGAACACAUUCAAGUCGAACGAGACCUUCGGGUCUAGUGGCGCACGGGUGCGUAACGCGUGGGAAUCUGCCCUUGGGUGCGGAACAACAGUUGGAAACGACUGCUAAUACCGGAUAAUGACUUCGGUCCAAAGAUUUAUCGCCCAGGGAUGAGCCCGCGUAGGAUUAGCUUGUUGGUGAGGUAAAAGCUCACCAAGGCGACGAUCCUUAGCUGGUCUGAGAGGAUGAUCAGCCACACUGGGACUGAGAAACGGACCAGACUCCUGCGGGAGGCAGCAGUGGGGAAUAUUGGACAAUGGGCGAAAGCCUGAUCCAGCAAUGCCGCGUGAGUGAUGAAGGCCUUAGGGUUGUAAAUCUCUUUUACCCGGGAUGAUAAUGACAGUACCGGUAGAAUAAGCCCCGGCUAACUCCGUGCCAGCAGCCGCCGUAAAAC